rnacentral:rRNA from 1 species
GACGAACGCUGGCGGCGUGCUUAACACAUGCAAGUCGAACGGAAAGGCCCUGCUUUUGUGGGGUGCUCGAGUGGCGAACGGGUGAGUAACACGUGAGUAACCUGCCCUUGACUUUGGGAUAACUUCAGGAAACUGGGGCUAAUACCGGAUAGGAGCUCCUGCUGCAUGGUGGGGGUUGGAAAGUUUCGGCGGUUGGGGAUGGACUCGCGGCUUAUCAGCUUGUUGGUGGGGUAGUGGCUUACCAAGGCUUUGACGGGUAGCCGGCCUGAGAGGGUGACCGGGCACAAUAGGACUAAGGUACGGCGCAGAAGCCUACGGGAGGCAGCAGUGGAGAGUAUGGCACAACAAGCGGAAGCCUGAUAUAGAAAUGCUGCGUGCGGGAAACCGGGCUACGAGGGAAGAACCGAUGUCGACGGAAACAUGGCGGGAGUGACGGUAAUGAAUAAGAAAGCACCGGCUAACUACGUG